rnacentral:rRNA from 1 species
UAUUGGACAAUGGGCGAAAGCCUGAUCCAGCAAUACCGCGUGUGUGAAGAAGGCCUUAGGGUUGUAAAGCACUUUCAAUUGGGAGGAAAACCUACCGGUCAAUACCCGGUAGCUUGACAUUACCUUUAGAAGAAGCACCGGCUAACUCCGUGCCAGCAGCCGCGGUAAUACGGAGGGUGCGAGCGUUAAUCGGAAUUACUGGGCGUAAAGCGUGCGUAGGCGGUUCGUUAAGUCAGAUGUGAAAGCCCUGGGCUCAACCUGGGAACGGCAUUUGAAACUGGCGGACUAGAGUUUAGUAGAGGGGAGUGGAAUUUCAGGUGUAGCGGUGAAAUGCGUAGAUAUCUGAAGGAACACCAGUGGCGAAGGCGACUCCCUGGACUAGAACUGACGCUGAGUACGAAA